rnacentral:rRNA from 1 species
GAUGAACGCUGGCGGCGUGCUUAACACAUGCAAGUCGAACGGGAAUUACUUUAUUGAAACUUCGGUCGAUUUAAUUUAAUUCUAGUGGCGGACGGGUGAGUAACGCGUGGGUAACCUGCCUUAUACAGGGGGAUAACAGUCAGAAAUGGCUGCUAAUACCGCAUAAGCGCACAGAGCUGCAUGGCUCGGUGUGAAAAACUCCGGUGGUAUAAGAUGGACCCGCGUUGGAUUAGCUUGUUGGUGGGGUAACGGCCCACCAAGGCGACGAUCCAUAGCCGGCCUGAGAGGGUGAACGGCCACAUUGGGACUGGGACACGGCCCAGACUCCUACGGGAGGCAGCAGUGGGGAAUAUUGCACAAUGGGGGAAACCCGGAUGCAGCGACGCCGCGUGAAGGAAGAAGUAUCUCGGUAUGUAAACUUCUAUCAGCAGGGAAGAUAGUGACGGUACCUGACUAAGAAGCCCCGGCUACCUACGU